rnacentral:lncRNA from 1 species
UCUCCAGGCGGUCCACUCUGGAGGUCUCCCCAGCAUCUGGCGGGUGUCGCUGGCUGAGGAUGAACAACAAACAGCCUAGAAGAGCCUCUCGAACAUCCUGGGAGCUCAGGCGACGGGCCAACCGACGCAGCAAGGGCAGGAGGUGCUGGCGGGCCAGGCGGGCAGCAGGAAGCAGCAGACGGGAGAGCAGUCCUCGCAGCAGCAGUGGGAGCAGCGGGGCAGGCAUGGCGAGCUCGGCGCUGCGAAGGCAACGGAGGCUCUAACCUUGUGCUUCCUGCUCCCACCUCACCUGCCAAAAGCAUGGGUGGACAGGAGUGCCCCCCCUCUCUUCAGUUUACCAAUUUGUGGGUUGCUUUUCCCUUUCUCUAAGCAAGGUGGCUGGUAGAGGGGGUUUCACCACAGCACGGAUGGGGAGAGAAAAACUGGAGCUAGAACUCACAGCCAGCCCUUCCCUGUCUCCAGGGGCUCUACUGUUCCUGGGACCCCUUCCAUCCCCCUGACAUUCCCCAACUUUUCUUCCUCAGUCCAGCAAUUCUUCCCCAGGCAAUUCUAAUUUUUCUUUUGGGGGGUUCUUGAUCCACCCAGACCUGCAAUCCUUAACACCCCGGCCCCCUACACCCACCGAUCAGUUCAGCUCUCACCAGUCAGGACUGCUGCUCAGAAUCAGUCUCUGGCUGGAUCUUCCUGCAGUGGAGACAGCCUAGCUGGAUGCAACACUGGGUAACCCCACCCAGCUCAGCUUGCCUGGGUAGGGGAAACAAUGGAGAGACAGCUGUGUUCUGGCACCUGGUACAUGGAGGGGAGCAGGCAGCUGGGCUGAUCCCCUUUUCCAGUUUGGAAGGAAAAGGAAGGAGGGAGCAUGUGCAGGAAUUCCCCUUGCUGGGUACAAGCCUCAGAGUUGGAAUUCAAACAGCAUUUGCUAAUUGUGUGGCCUUAAGCACACUGACUCUUCUGGGCUCCAGUCCCCUUAUCUGCUACCUCAAUGGCUGGGAAGAACCGAGAGGAGGAACUGAACAGGACAAUGUAGGACACCCACAUGUCCAAACCUCAGAUGCAGUAAAACAGCCCCCAGGACACAUUUAUUAACACCAGACCUGUUCCAGUGGACAAGACAGGAAACCAGGACCUCGUGGGAGCAGGCCCUCUCCUGGGGGGCAGAGGAGUAAAGACAGUCCAUUUCAUAGCUGGGCACACUUGGAUACAGUCGGGUGACAUUUGUACUCAAAGAUGGAGGAGGGACCUAAUUCAGGUCCCUUUUCUCCACCUACUUUUCCCUCCUUGUGAUUAGAGGAGGAUCCAUAAGGUAGCCAGGUGUAUCUCCUUGGGUUUAUAGACAGGCUUUUUGUUUGUUCUUGUUUUUAAAUACUUCAUUCUCCUAUUUUGAAAAUUGUUAUAAUUCCUGCCUUUCUGGAUUCAGAUGAGAUAAUGGCCUUGACGUAUUAUAAAAACUUCAAGGUCUUGAGACUAUGAUCACAUAUCAGCACCCCACCAGCAGCUGCUGUUAGCAUCAUUGUCAUCUCCAUCACCAUUCAAGACCUUGAAGAAAGAAAACUUACAAGGUCAGAAAGGACUGUCUACUUCUAUGUGGAAGAAGCAGGGAUGAGGAGCAAGAAAGUGCACAUUCAUAGGCAGAGUCUUCUUAUAGUUGCUACCAGAUGAAGUUUCAUGGUCAUGUAUUUAUCCCAGGGCUGUGGGUAGGACACAUUGAAUACGCGUGUAUGCCAGUACAGAGUUCAUGAUCUCACUCAAUUCUCACGACCACGGUGCAGCGAAGCAAAAAUUAUAACCAAUGGAUAACCAUUGAGGAACUAAGAUUCAGGGUAGUUAAGCACCUUUUCCAAAGUCAGACAUUGGGUAAAUAGCCUCAUUUCCCUCUAGAACUGCCCUUUUCCCAGGUUUUCCCAAAUUGUGUCUUUCCAAUUGCUUUGGCCAAAAUCUUGGAAAUUAUCCUGAACUCCUCUUUUCCUAUCACAGUUCUCCAUCCAUAUGAGCAAAUUCUGAUGACUCCACUUUAAAAUAUUCAGAAUCUAGAGCUGGAGGUGUAGUUCAGUGGUGGAAUGCUUACCUAUCAUGCUUGAGAUCCUGGGUUCGAUCCCUAGUAAGCGCACGUGUGCACACAUGCGCGCACGCACAAACACACACACACACACACUUUUGAGGCCAGAAAACUAAAUAUUUGUCAUAUGACUUUGCAAUAUCUAUAGAUUUAGGUGAUUUUACCUGGAGGCUCCCCAAACACACUGAGGUUCCUGGGCCUGAUACAAUUGUAGAAAGAAACCAUGUAUUUAAGGCACCAGAGUAGUUUAGCUCCUCACACUCAAGGGCUUUAAUUGGCUUCUUUUUUUUUUAAAUCU